rnacentral:rRNA from 1 species
AACAAACGCUGGCGGCGUGCCUAACACUUGCAAGUCGUACGAGAAAGGGUCCUUCGGGGCCUGAGUAAAGUGGCGCACGGGUGAGUAACGCGUGGAUAAUCUGCCCUUCAGUUGGGAGUAACUCAUCGAAAGGUGGGCUAAUACCGAAUAAUGCUGUGAGACCUCGGUUGAUCAGCCAAAGAGAGCCUCUGCUUGCAAGCCCUCGCUGAAGGAUGAGUCCGCGUACCAUUAGCUAGUUGGUAGGGUAAUGGCCUACCAAGGCGACGAUGGUUAGCUGGUCUGAGAGGAUGAUCAGCCACACUGGAACUGGAACACGGUCCAGACUCCUACGGGAGGCAGCAGUGAGGAAUCUUGCGCAAUGGGGGCAACCCUGACGCAGCAACGCCGCGUGAGUGAGGAAGGUCUUCGGAUCGUAAAGCUCUGUCGGAUGGAAAGAACCGCAUAGGGGUAAACAGCCCCUGUGUCUGACGGUACCAUCAAAGGAAGCACCGGCUAACUUCGUGCCAGCCGCCGCGGUAACAC